UCAUCUCUUACCAUCUCUCUCAUUACUCACUUGGUCAUAUUUGUAUCAAUCUUCACACGGCGAUUAAAAUGACGUCGUUUGUUUUGUGUAGACAAAUGUGUCUCUUCUUGGCUAUUUUCUCAUUUCUUGUACUUGUGUCUGAGGCUUCAAGAUUCCCUCAAGUCCACUGGGAACAAAUGCUACCAAAGAAGCUUCCUGUUCCUUCUUCUGCUCCUUCCAAAGGCACCAAUUCUGUCAGCAAAUUCUCUUCUACAUCUUCCCUAAAUACCAAUUCCUUCAGCUCCUUUACAUCUGAUGGAAAAGUUUAGGUUAAUUCUUUGAGAGAUCAUUCACACUGCUGACUUAUAUUGGGAGCGGAAACACGAAGGGGAAAGGACGGCAUAUGCUCUGUUUGCUUCCAUCACUUACUGACCUUACAAUACUAUCAAGUUAGCUCCAUUGGAAGUUGUUGUUAAGGAGAGAAAGUCAAAAAGAGAAGUCUCAUCGU